rnacentral:lncRNA from 1 species
CAAAAUCUUCCCAAUUUUGAGUUUUUCUUUGUCUUUUGUCACUGGGGAUUGAACCCAGGGGUGCUUACUCUGAGCAACAUCCCCAGCCCUUUUUCUCAUUUUGAGACAGGAGGUUGCUGAGGUUGGCCUCAAACUUGCAAUCCUCUGUCUCAGCCUCCUGAGUCAGGUGUAAAAUAUACACCUGUAAUCCCAGUGACUCAGGAGCCUGAGACAGAGGAUUGCAAGUUUGAGUCUUUUAAAUCAACCUAUACUUUUUGAGUCUUUUAAACCAACUAAAUUUGAGUCUUUUAAAUCAACCUAUUUUUUAAAACUCAGCCAACAAACUAGAAUAAAUGCAAAAAAAAAAAAAAAAGAUUUAUACCUAGACACAUCAUAGUCAAAAUGUUGAAAGUUAAAGAUGGAAAAUCUUGAACCAGCAAGAGGAAAAUGACUCAUCACAUAUAAAUGAACAACAUAAGAAAUUAAUAGGGCAGUCAUAACAGUAGACUGUCAUAAAAAUUACGUGACUGUAACUUCUCUUAAAAUAUCUUCACUCUAUUGUGAUGCUGAUGUGCAGUGAUAAAUACUUCCAUGAUGAGAUGAAGUCAGGUGAAGGUAGAGUUGCUACUACGUAAGAGCUGCCUGAAUACAAGCACUGUGAAACUUGGUUACUGAGACGGCAACUAAGGGCAGCUAGAACACGAUGCUGAUAGAUUAGACAAGGGGAUGAUUUACAUCCCAGAGGGACAGCAGGAUGGUGUGAGAUUUCAUCACACUAUUCAGAACACACAAUUUAAAACUUACAAAUUGUUCCAACAUUUUUUUGGAAUUUUCCACUUAAUGUCUUUCUAACUGUUGUGAGUUAGUGAGUUAAUGCAGUUGUGAGUGUAUGAUGAAAGAAAUACACGUGUUGCUUUAAAACUGACACACUGUGAGUUUGGGAGGUGAUUUCAUCAUUAUGCAAACAUCAUAAAGUGUACUACACAGUCCAAGAUGGCUGUGAUGUCACUAGGUGACAUCAUCUUGUGGGCCCACUGUCAUAUGAGUGGUCUGUUGUUGACCAAAAUGUCAUGCCUCAAGUGACUACAUUCAUAACAUGUCAGUUUUCAUUAACUGGUUAACCCAUUCCACAGCCCUGAAAGGAAGCCAUGUUCAGUUUUAUAGUCUCGUCAUUCAAUCAGGAUCAUUUUAGAACUGAAAAGUCUAUGGAAUGAUUUAAAAACCCAUUUGGAGUUUGCAAAAGUAAUUUCUGUCCCUAUCGUGUUUGUAAGGGGGAACUACUACCCUGAAGGAAUUUCUUCAGCCUGGAAGGAAUUGACCUCAUCUGUAGGAAGAACAGAAAUGGUAAAUAUGGAAGUAAAUUUUUUUUCUGUAGUUCUGGGAAUUGAAGCCAAGGACUUGUGCAUGUUAGAUAAGU